rfam:Candidatus Sungbacteria bacterium RIFCSPHIGHO2_02_FTLL_51_29 rifcsphigho2_02_scaffold_261833, whole genome shotgun sequence.
ACAUCCUGUGAAAGUCAGGAUCGCCGUAAACCCAAGGGUUCCUUGGCAAUGACAAUCAUCCAAGGGUAAGCCGGGCCUAAGGCAAUGGCGAAAGCCGCAGCCGAUGGACACACGGUUAAUAUUCCGUGGCUUCCUAUGGUCUCGAUGGGGUGACGGAGCGCAGUACGCGGGGCGGAUUAUUGGAUUUCCGUCCGCGGCACAGGGGACGCCGGUAGGCAAAUCCGCCGGCGGGGGUCAUGCCCGGUCCCGAGUGCAACGGAGAAUUUCGGGGGCAACUCCGAGAGUAUUCCGCAGAGCGCGCUUCCCAGAAAAUCCUCUCAGAAUAUCCAUAGGAAACCGUACCGUAAACCGACACCGGUGGGUUGGUGUUAGCGCACCAAGGCGAACGGGUGAGAUCUCCUUAAGGAACUAGGCAAACAAGCGGCCGUAAGUUCGCGAUAAGGCCUCCCCUCACCAAUUUUGGGUUAUGAUUACCGUAUGCAUGCGGUCUACCUUAUUCAGAAUUCCGAAACGAGAGAACUCUACUUCGGCGUGACGGCAGACCUUGCAAAGCGUCUGCAAGAACAUAACGCCGGAGGCAAGAAGUUCACAACGCGGAAAAUAGGAAUAUGGCAGUACAUCUACAUCGAAGCGUAUCGGUCAAGAACGGAUGCCCUGGACCGAGAGCGUCAGUUGAAGCGGCAUGCAAACGGAAAGCAGCAACUCCUCAAGCGGCUGAAACGCAGCUUGCUUGAGCCCAAAAUUGGUGAGGGGCGCAGCGAAAGAACCUCUGGCGACUGUUUACCAAAAACACAGCUCCCUGCUAACUCGUAAGAGGAUGUAUAGGGGGUGACGCCUGACCAAUGCGAGAAGGUUAAGCAUUUCUGUCAUGGGCCGCGAUUACAUCAAGGUUUGUGGCGUGAGGUGCUAAGCCCUCGUCAAUGUCCGCGGUAAACACGAUCAGUAGUUGCCGCGCCGAGAAGCGAUUCUCGGGCAACAACUUGGCUAUAUGCUGGAAAGGCCGAGUAUCCAGUGCUAGUCCGACGUCAUGCCGGACUGAAAAUGCAUCUGGUGCGGUCAAUCAGCAGGAAAGAUUUCGGUUGCAAAACCGGAAAAUCCUCAGAGGCCAUACGCCGAGCUCCCGCCACGGCAUGAGACACUGCGGCGGGAUGAAGAUAUGGUCCAUACUUCCUGGCGACAGGAAGACCGAAAGAACUAUAACCGUGUUAAAGUGGGUAGCGCCGCUUUAGUAAAAUCUGACUAUAUGCUGGAACAACCGAGUAUCCAGUGCUAGUCCGACGUCAUGCCGGACUGAAAAUGCAUCUGGUGCGGUCAAUCAGCAGGCAACCCAUAGUUCAAUAGACCACUCUACUGAACCAUUGGAGAGUCCUCAGAGACUAUACGUCAGAAUCGAUAGAAUAAGGUGCGUAUCUGAAUUGUGGAGUAGAAACGAAAGGAGAUACGAGAAAUGGGAAAGUACUUCCAUCCAUACCAUCUCAUUCUUAUUCUCAUCGCCGUCCCGGGCUUAGGUGCGACCGCUGUCGCCGCCAUGCGCGGGAGGCGCGCGAGAAAAAGGGGGAGUGAGUAAACCUCCCCUCUACAAUUCAGAUACGCAGUGAAAAUUAUCGGUAAGAUAUAGUCCGAUCUCUACGGCGACGUAGAGGAUCUCUCUGCCAGAACUUAACCUGGGUGGUCACACAGAGAGUGAUAACGUCAUGAGCGCAAUUCCUUUUCGGGUAAGUUCCGAAGCGCAUGAAAGGCGUAACGACCGGAGGACUGUCUCAAGGAGAUGCCCGGUGAAAAUACAGUACCGGUGAAGAUGCCGGUUACCUGCAGUUAGACGAAAAGACCCCGGGAGCUUUACUGUAGCUUGGUAUUGAGUCUACGAGUUUUCUGCGUAGCAUAGGUGGGAGGCGUUGAAGUCCUGGUUUCGGCCGGGAUGGAGCCGUCAGUGAAAUACCACUCUGGAAACAUGUAGAUCCUAACUCGCGGAGACAAAACUCCGCGAAGACAGUGCCUGGCGGGCAGUUUGUCUGGGGCAGAACCCUCCUAAACGGUAAUGGAGGGGUUUAAAGGUCGGCUUCGCGCGGAUGGAAAUCGCGCUGGACCUGCAACGGGAAAAGCCGGCUUGACUGCGAGGGGGACAUCCCGAGCAGAUGCGAAAGCAGAACGUAGUGAUCCGAUGGCUAUGGCAUUGAAUGUAGAAUGUGGAUUGUAGAACGUGGGAAACCACAAUCUACAUACCAUAAUCUACUUUCGAUGUUACUUACUAGAACACGGCCAGAGCUCAACGGAUAAAAGCUACCCCGGGGAUAACAGGCUAGUUCCGCCCGAGCGUCCAUAGCGACGGCGGAGUUCGGCACCUCAACAAUCGGGGCGCCAUGCGAGUAAUCGCAUUAGCCCUUUGAGACACCUCGUUUGAUAGGCGGGAUCUCAAAUGGAAUAGUGGCUUA